UGCCUCAGCAUUUCCUGGCAGACUGAAGGCUUCCAUAUGGUGAUGAUCGUGAUGCUGUGGCAGCAUUUAGCCUCUGCCACCAGUGUCUCAAGGUGCAUUUGCUUGUGCUGAGAAAGUUCACCAGUGCAUGCAAUGGCAUAGCCUCUUUGCUGUCAAGUUCCCUGUAUAAAUUUCUCAUGCCCCAAUGACUGGCUGGGCUUGAAGGAGAGGAUUUAGCCCUGCCAUAAGGGCCUGAAGGAGAGCCUGCUCACACAUUUCUGGAGUGAAAACAGAAGCCUGGAGAAGGGCCCUCUGGGAGGAAGCUGCAGGCACCAAGGCACACUCCUGCUGUGCAGCCCAUGCUGCCCAAGCCCCUGGCUCCCAUCCAGUUCUCAAAUCAGUCUUCUUCUGAAGGUUAAACAUGGCACCUUCUGCUGAUCCAGAUCUGCAAGGUCAACAGACACCCCUCCAAUCCAACCAUUCUAAGAUUCUGUGGUUCUUCUGCAUGAUUCAUGUGCUAGUUCAGCAUCCUUAGAGCUGUGAUGAAGACCACACCUUUAUCUCUGGGUCUGUACUGCAGUAGUACAAUUAUCUGAAUUAGGUAUUGUGUUUGCUGGCUAGAGAGGAAGCCUUGAGAGGGAUAUUCCAGCAUGUUUGGGUUGGGCUCUGAGCAUCUAUAGCACCAUUAAGACACACGCGUUCAUUUCCUAUGAGCUGUGCUUUAGUCAGUCUUGAAUUCCGCAUGUAGCUGCGUGUAGCAGAAAUGCUGUCAUGGCUUGAAACUGAUUGAGCACCUGGUGGGAAGGCAGGGCCAACCCAGGGGA